ensembl:snRNA U6 U6 spliceosomal RNA
AUGCCUGCAUCGACAGCACAUACACUAAAAUUGGAAUGAUACAGAGAAGAUCAGUAUGGCCCCUGCACAAGGAUGACACGCAAAUUUGUGAAGUGUUCCAUAUUUUU